UACGAGUAAAGAUGCUCGUUUCGCGCAGAAGGACGGAAAGACCCCGGGACCUUUACUACAGUUUGAUAUUGGUGUUCGGUUCGGCUUGUGUAGGAUAGGUGGGAGACUGUGAAGCGGGCACGCCAGUGUUCGUGGAGUCAACGUUGAAAUACCACUCUGGUCGUGCUGGAUGUCUAACCUCGGUCCGUGAUCCGGAUCAGGGACAGUGUCUGAUGGGUAGUUUAACUGGGGCGGUUGCCUCCCAAAGGGUAACGGAGGCGCCCAAAGGUUCCCUCAGCCUGGUUGGUAAUCAGGUGUUGAGUGUAAGUGCACAAGGGAGCUUGACUGUGAGACCGACGGGUCGAGCAGGGACGAAAGUCGGGACUAGUGAUCCGGCGGUGGCUUGUGGAAGCGCCGUCGCUCAACGGAUAAAAGGUACCCCGGGGAUAACAGGCUGAUCUUCCCCAAGAGUCCAUAUCGACGGGAUGGUUUGGCACCUCGAUGUCGGCUCGUCGCAUCCUGGGGCUGGAGUCGGUCCCAAGGGUUGGGCUGUUCGCCCAUUAAAGCGGUACGCGAGCUGGGUUUAGAACGUCGUGAGACAGUUCGGUCCCUAUCCUCUGUGCGCGUAGGAAUAUUGAGAAGGGCUGUCCCUAGUACGAGAGGACCGGGACGGACGAACCUCUGGUGUGCCAGUUGUCCUGCCAAGGGCAUGGCUGGUUGGCUACGUUCGGAAAGGAUAACCGCUGAAAGCAUCUAAGCGGGAAGCCUGCUUCGAGAUGAGUAUUCCCACCCCCUUUGAGGGGUUAAGGCUCCCAGUAGACGACUGGGUUGAUAGGCCAGAUCUGGAAGCCCGGUAACGGGUGGAGGUGACUGGUACUAAUAGGCCGAGGGCUUGUCCUCAGUUG
rnacentral:rRNA from 1 species